GACGAACGCUGGCGGCGUGCUUAACACAUGCAAGUCGAACGGAAAGGCCCUGCUUUUGUGGGGUGCUCGAGUGGCGAACGGGUGAGUAACACGUGAGUAACCUGCCCUUGACUUUGGGAUAACUUCAGGAAACUGGGGCUAAUACCGGAUAGGAGCUCCUGCUGCAUGGUGGGGGUUGGAAAGUUUCGGCGGUUGGGGAUGGACUCGAGGCUUAUCAGCUUGUUGGUGGGGUAGUGGCUUACCAAGGCUUUGACGGGUAGCCGGCCUGAGAGGGUGACCGGCCACAUUGGGACUGAGAUACGGCCCAGAAUCCUACGGGAGGCAGCAGUGGGGAAUAUUGCACAAUGGGCGGAAGCCUGAUGCAGCAACGCCGCGUGCGGGAUGACGGCCUUCGGGUUGUAAACCGCUUUCGCCUGUGACGAAGCGUGAGUGACGGUAAUGGGUAAAGAAGCACCGGCUAACUACGUG
rnacentral:rRNA from 1 species